CCCUUAGGUGUUCUGGGCCGCACGCGCGCUACACUGACGAAGUCAGCGAGCAUGUCCUACGCCGACAGGUGCGGGGAAUCUUGUCAAACUUCGUCGUGAUGGGGAUUGAUUUUUGAAAUUCUUGAUCAUAAACGAGGAAUUCCUAGUAAGCGCAAGUCAGCAGCUUGCGUUGAUUACGUCCCUGCCCUUUGUACACACCGCCCGUCGCUACUACCGAUUGAAUGGUUUAGUGAGAUCUUCGGAUUGGCGCCACUGCAGCUCAGCAAUGGGCUUGGUGGAUGCCGAAAAGUUGAUCAAACUUGAUCAUUUAGAGGAAGUAAAAGUCGUAACA
rnacentral:rRNA from 1 species